UACGAAGGGGGCUAGCGUUGCUCGGAAUUACUGGGCGUAAAGCGCACGUAGGCGGCUCUUUAAGUCGGGGGUGAAAUCCUGGAGCUCAACUCCAGAACUGCCUUCGAUACUGAAGAGCUUGAGUCCGGGAGAGGUGAGUGGAACUGCGAGUGUAGAGGUGAAAUUCGUAGAAUAUUCGCAAGAACACCAGUGGCGAAGGCGGCUCACUGGCCGGUACUGACGCUGAGGAGCGAAAGCGUGGGGAGCGAACAGGAUUAGAU
rnacentral:rRNA from 1 species